rnacentral:rRNA from 1 species
AACGAACGCUGGCGGCAUGCCUAACACAUGCAAGUCGAACGAAGCCUUCGGGCUUAGUGGCGCACGGGUGCGUAACGCGUGGGAAUCUGCCCUUGGGUUCGGAUAACAGUUAGAAAUGACUGCUAAUACCCGGAUGAUGUCUUCGGACCAAAGAUUUAUCGCCCAAGGAUGAGCCCGCGUAGGAUUAGGUAGUUGGUGGGGUAAAAGGCCUACCAAGCCGACGAUCCUUAGCUGGUCUGAGAGGAUGAUCAGCCACACUGGGACUGAGACACGGCCCAGACUCCUACGGAGGCAGCAGUGGGGAAUAUUUGGGACAAUGGGGGAAACCCUGAUCCAGCAAUGCCGCGUGAGUGAUGAAGGCCUUAGGGUCGUAAAGCUCUUUUACCCGAGAGUGAUAAUGACAGUAUC